rnacentral:misc_RNA from 1 species
AACCUAGCACACCUGCGGUGUGUACCUGCGGAAGGAUCAUUAUAGUAUAUGGAAUCUCCAUUCUAUAAACCCACUCUGCGUAUCUUGUAACUGUUGCUUCCAUGGGACUUGGUUCCGCCACACCGGCUUCACGGCUGGUGAGCGCCCAUGGAAGGAGAAACAAAACUCUUCUUUGAAAUGUAGUCAGUCUGAACAAGUUUUUAUAAACGUUAAAACUUUUAGCAACGGAUCUCAGAUCGG